GUGCCAGCCGCCGCGGUAAUACGUAGGGCGCAAGCGUUGUCCGGAAUUAUUGGGCGUAAAGAGCUCGUAGGCGGUUUGUCGCGUCUGCUGCGAAAACGCAAGGCUUAACCUUGCGCCUGCAGUGGGUACGGGCAGACUAGAGUGCGGUAGGGGAGACUGGAAUUCCUGGUGUAGCGGUGGAAUGCGCAGAUAUCAGGAGGACACCGAUGGCGAAGGCAGGUCUCUGGCCGUUACUGACGCUGAGGAGCGAAAGCAUGGGGAGCGA
rnacentral:rRNA from 1 species